rnacentral:rRNA from 1 species
CCUACGGGGUGCAGCAGUGAGGAAUAUUGGUCAAUGGGCGCGAGCCUGAACCAGCCAAGUAGCGUGAAGGAUGACUGCCCUACGGGUUGUAAACUUCUUUUAUAAAGGAAUAAAGUGAGGCACGUGUGCCUUUUUGUCUGUACUUUAUGAAUAAGGAUCGGCUAACCUCGCGCCAGCAGCGCCGGUAAUAUGGAGGGUCGGAGCGUUAUCCGGAUUUAUUGGGUUUAAAGGGAGCGUAGAAGGGUUGUUAAGUCAGUUGUGAAAGUUUGCGGCUCAACCGUAAAAUGGCAUUUGAUACUGGAAGACUUGAGUGCAGUAGAGGAAGGCGGAAUUCGUGGUGUAGCGGUGAAAUGCGUAGAGAUCACGAAGAACUCCAAUUGCGAAGGCAGCUUACUAGACUGCCACUGACAUUGAUGCGCGAAAGUGUGGGUAUCAAACAGGAUUAGAUACCCGUGUAGUC